CCUGUUGCUGUAAAGUUAAUCGAUGGUUGAGAUUACUGCAGAUACAUUUGCGAGAUGUACAUUAUUAAUUAAAUAAUAUUUAUGCUUGCUACACGUAAAUACCAUAUUCAUAUUCAGAAUUUAUUGAUAAGGUGGUGUUGAUAAAUUCAAAAACUACAUGCAAAGUCAAACUUCUGCUGUUAUUUUGGUGAAAGUAAUGCAAAAGUAUUGUUCUGCAUUUACUCACAGGUUUCCGGAAGAAGAUGCAGAAGAAGGGGAAAAAAAGAACAAUGAAAUCCUCCUUGCAUGGACCAGGUCUGUCAUAAAUCAUAUGUGGUUUUCUUGUGUAACCAUAAGGGGGACGUUGAGGAGAAGCACGGUUCAACAAAAUGUUCUGCAAGAGAUCCACACAGUUUGUAGCAGAACUCAUCCAGAAGGCCAUUGACAAGACUCAAUCCAAACAUUGUGUUCAAGGUGCCAACCUCCUCAUUUGCCCUGACACAGCCUGCGCUGCCACCCAACAUUGCACCAGUGCCUAAACCAUCAGAGGACGCUGCCACGACUUCUUUCAAAAGUCGCUUCUGAGACUGACACUUUCUAAUAAUAAUAAUACUCACCUUUAUUAUAUUAUUAUAUUAUAGUAUAUUAUUAUAUACUGUGUGUAUAUAUACACACAUAAUUAUUAUUAUUAUUUUUUGCUUUGUUUUUAUUUUGUGCAGGGCAUUAUUAGAUCUAAAUUAUGUCAUUGUUUAUUUUAAUGUGUGCUUUUCACUGGUGGCACAAUAUUUUUCAUUUGUGAAUAAUAAAAAAUAAAUUUCUUCA